GUUGUGCUAUUUCAAUGCACCACGGAAACCAAAUGGUGCAACACGGUAAGGUGCAUUUUCAAAUAAACCAUAUGAUCAAUUUCUCAAUCGACUGAGAAAUUGUUGUUGCUCAGUCAACGAGCCUCUACGUCAGACUCGUCAAUAUUCUCAGUUGGUGCGUGCGUUGAGUCCCCCAUCGAUCCCCCUAAUAUAAAAAUUAUAGUGCAACAGAAAAAAUUGGAUGGCUACUAUAGAACCCAUGUAUACUGACUGAGAAUUGAAUUAGAUGGUCCCAAAAGAAAACCUAUAGACCCCUGUAUAUCAACUGAGAAUUGCAUUAAAUGGUCUCAAAACAAAAUCUAGUCUUGCACAAAAUGUGUAUGUAUCCAAAAAAUAGUCUACCCACAACAAAAAAAUAUACAACAUCUAUGGUAGAUAUAAAAAAAGAAGACCACAAAUGUAACCAUGCAAGACAAAAAAAAUACACAAUUUCACGGCUCAAGGAUUCCACACUCAACACAAAUAAGAAAAGCCCAUAAACACAUAGUAGAAAACAGGCCCGAACCAGCCCACAAAAACGUCAUAAGCCAAAGCUAGUCCCAUCCACUUCAGGUGCCCUGCUCGGGCAAACAGAUAGACAACCAUUGUACGCAAGGAAAGCACGUAUUAUAUCACAGACUAAAUCACAUUUCAAAUCACGGGCAAACAUAAUCGACCGAGAAAAAGAUAUUUCUCAGACGUACUGAGCCUUAGCAAAAUAAUUUCUGAAAUGUAUCAAAAGAUGUACAAUGUUUGUUGUGAUGGUGGCUCUUAUUGUAGCAUUUAUUUCUCAAAUCUCAUACUCGGUAUUUUUGUCCCC
rnacentral:lncRNA from 1 species